rfam:Mortierella elongata AG-77 unplaced genomic scaffold K457scaffold_74, whole genome shotgun sequence.
AAUGUUGUUACAAUAGUCAUUGCACUUAGUACGAGUAGAACCGUUCAUUCGGAUAAUUGGUAUUUGGGCCUGCCUGAGCAGGCAAUGGCCCGAAGCUAUCAUCCGUUGGGUUAUGGCUGAACGCCUCUAAGUCAGAACCCGUGCUAUUACGCGACGAUUACCGCCUUUCGAUUUUUAGUUGAAUACGAAUAGAUCUUCGGAUCCUGAAUCAUACUACAGGGGGUCGAUCUUACAGAGUGGAAAGGCUUUGUGAGGUUCCUGCUAAUGUUAAUUUCAAAAUAUUGGAGGAGAUAAAAUCCAUUGCAGACGACUUUAACUGAACGGAGUAUUGUAAGCAGUAGAGUAGCCUUGUUGCUACGAUCUGCUGAGAUUAAGCCCAUUGUUCUAUAGAUUU